GAACCACCAUGGCCAAAAUCCCAAAACCAGAUCUCUAACAACAGUAGUUCAAAUUCAUUUUAAUACGUUUGUCUGGUGCGUAGGUAGGUAAGUGUAUGGUGAUGGAAUCUUGAUCAAGGUGUUAAAUGAAUCAUUUCUAUAAACUUUAUUUCUCUCUACUAACAAGGUACACUGUUGUAUAAACUUUAUUUCUUCUUUCCAUAAGUUUUUGUCAACAAGGAUGGUAUGGUCCGAGAGGUGUUUAUGCUCGACGGCAGGAAAGGUUGUAGCAAGCAUCAUUUAUACAAUUUGUUUGAAAUAACCAUAUAGCUCCUGUCAUGAACGCAAUUUGGCGAUGGAUUCCCUUGUUAGCAAGACCUGCUUUUUCGUGUCAGUCCACAUGUGUCUUCUGCAGUGAUUAGAUUAUUUGCGAUGUGAAGAUAUUGUUAUCCUUACAUUUUUGAAAUGUGAAUUUGCAUUAUCUAUUCACCAUGUCGGUAAAUACACCAUGUAUUUGAUAUAAUGAUCUAUCUAUUUUUAAGAAUACAUGUGGUCCUCCGUUACUAUAUUCUUUAUAUUUGGUUAAAA